GUUAGGUCCAAAGUAUCGUAGAAGGGGGGGUUGAAUACGAUACUCACUACAAUUUAAAAUUCUUUCGAAUCUUGCGGAUAAACAAAUUGCAGUUCUGUAAUGGGUUUCGUGUUCCGGAUAUUUAUUGGGUCGGUUUCUGAGGAUAUGAAAAUAUUAAACCAACACACAAUAUUUUCCAAGGUAUAUCUGUAUAUUGAUAAAUACCUCGAAUGGUGCUAUAAAUCCAAACCCGAAGGUUGGCUACAAUGGCUACUACUACGUACACUCACAAACCCUAGCUUCUAAAUAUAUAUAUAUUACAAAACUAAGCUAUGAUUUAUUUGUGUGUAGUAGUGUGCAAGGCACAAAGCCAUUCCACCAUAAAGGUGGUGGAGAGUGUUACAAAUGAGAACAAAAUCCAUGGGUAUUUAUAGGCUUUUCAUAAACUAACCAUGGUUAACGAGUUCGUCCUGGACGACUUGAGUUCGUCCUGGACGAAUUGAGUUCGUCCCAAGUGCUUCCAAUGUGUAUGUAUGUAGAAAUCCCAUGCCUUAGAAUAUUUUCAAGCUUUAAGCAUCCAUAGGGCACCAAUGGGGCGCAACUUGGGCGCUAGUGGCGCUAACACCCUCACAGGGCAUCACUAGGGCGCACACAAGGCGCAACUUGGGCGCUAACAGGCGCAACCUCAAGGGGCGCAACUUCAAGGCGCAACAAGGGCGCUUCCCAGGCGCUCUAAGGCGCAACUUCCAGGCGCAACUUCAAGGCGCUUCCCAGGCGCUCUAAGGCGCAACUUCCAGGCGCAACUUCAAG
rnacentral:lncRNA from 1 species